UACGGGGGGGGCAAGCGUUGUUCGGAAUUACUGGGCGUAAAGGGCUCGUAGGCGGCCAACUAAGUCCGACGUGAAAUCCCCAGGCUUAACCUGGGAACUGCGUCGGAUACUGGAUGGCUUGAAUCCGGGAGAGGGAUGCGGAAUUCCAGGUGUAGCGGUGAAAUGCGUAGAUAUCUGGAGGAACACCGGUGGCGAAGGCGGCAUCCUGGACCGGAAUUGACGCUGAGGAGCGAAAGCCAGGGGAGCAAACGGGG
rnacentral:rRNA from 1 species